rnacentral:rRNA from 1 species
GAACGGGGUUAUUUAGGAAAUUUCCUUCGGGGAAUGGAAUCUUUAACCUAGUGGCGGACGGGUGAGUAACGCGUGAGCAAUCUGCCUUCGGAUGGGGGAUAACAGCCGGAAACGGCUGCUAAUACCGCAUAACACAUGGGAUCCGCAUGUUUCCCGUGUCAAAGAUUUAUCGUCCGGAGAUGAGCUCGCGUCUGAUUAGCUGGUUGGCGGGGUAACGGCCCACCAAGGCGACGAUCAGUAGCCGGACUGAGAGGUUGAACGGCCACAUUGGGACUGAGACACGGCCCAGACUCCUACGGGAGGCAGCAGUGGGGAAUAUUGCGCAAUGGGGGCAACCCUGACGCAGCAACGCCGCGUGAUUGAAGAAGGCCUUCGGGUUGUAAAGAUCUUUAAUCGGGGACGAAUUUUGACGGUACCCGAAGAAUAAGCUCCGGCUAACUACGUGCCAGCAGCCGCGGUAAUACGUAGGGAGCAAGCGUUAUCCGGAUUUACUGGGUGU